rnacentral:sRNA from 1 species
AAUUCUUAAAUUUUAAAAAUUACUAUUUUAAAAAAAAAUCACGGGACGGGUAAAGAAAUUACAGAACGGGUUUUAUUUUGAAAUUGGGUUAUAUGGUAGAUGUAUUUGAAUCAAUAUUUAUAAAAUUUAAAAAUAUUAUUAAUAUGCUGUUUUAAUAGGGAUUAAAACUUCAGUUUUUUUACAAUUCUCAUGGAUUCGUGGUAUAGUGUUACUUAAUAUUAUAAACUGUAAAAUAUAAAUAUUUUAUAAAAAUAAAAUUUGCAAGUUUUAAUAUAUAUUACUUUUAAAAGGUAAAUCGCCCCGCGGUAUAUUGCGGGUUAAAAUCUAGUAUGUAUAUAUUGGCACACACCUCAAUAUUCUAAAAUAUAGUA